UACAGAGGUCCCAAGCGUUGUUCGGAUUCAUUGGGCGUAAAGGGUGCGUAGGUGGUGCUGUAAGUCAGGUGUGAAAUCUCGGGGCUCAACCCCGAAACUGCACUUGAUACUGCAGUGCUGGAGGACUGGAGAGGAGAUCGGAAUUCAUGGUGUAGCAGUGAAAUGCGUAGAUAUCAUGAGGAAGACCGGUGGCGAAGGCGGAUCUCUGGACAGUUCCUGACACUGAGGCACGAAGGCUAGGGGAGCAAACGGG
rnacentral:rRNA from 3 species